CUAUCCAGCUUGCUGGAUAGGAAAGUGGCGCACGGGUGCGUAACGCGUAUGCAACCUACCUUAUUCAGGGGGAUAGCCCGAAGAAAUUCGGAUUAACACCGCAUAAAAUCACAGUAUAGCAUUAUACAAUGAUCAAAUAUUUAUAGGAAUAAGAUGGGCAUGCGUGUCAUUAGCUAGUUGGCGGGGUAACGGCCCACCAAGGCGACGAUGACUAGGGGAUCUGAGAGGAUGGCCCCCCACACUGGUACUGAGACACGGACCAGACUCCUACGGGAGGCAGCAGUAAGGAAUAUUGGUCAAUGGAGGCAACUCUGAACCAGCCAUGCCGCGUGCAGGAAGACAGCCCUCUGGGUCGUAAACUGCUUUUAUUCGGGAAUAAACCUACUUACGUGUAAGUAGCUGAAUGUACCGAAGGAAUAAGGAUCGGCUAACUCCGUGCCAGCAGCCGCGGUAAUACGGAGGAUCCAAGCGUUAUCCGGAUUUAUUGGGUUUAAAGGGUGCGUAGGCGGCCUAUUAAGUCAGGGGUGAAAGACGGUGGCUCAACCAUCGCAGUGCCCUUGAUACUGAUGGGCUUGAAUGAACUAGAGGUAGGCGGAAUGUGACAAGUAGCGGUGAAAUGCAUAGAUAUGUCACAGAACACCGAUUGCGAAGGCAGCUUACUAUGGUUUUAUUGACGCUGAGGCACGAAAGCGUGGGGAUCAAACAGGAUUAGAUACCCUGGUAGUCCACGCCCUAAACGAUGAAUACUCGCUGUUAGCGAUAUACAGUUAGCGGCUAAGCGAAAGCGUUAAGUAUUCCACCUGGGGAGUACGCCCGCAAGGGUGAAACUCAAAGGAAUUGACGGGG
rnacentral:rRNA from 1 species